UAGCAAACAGGGGCCAGUCUCGAUAGC
rnacentral:piRNA from 1 species